GACGAACGCUGGCGGCGUGCUUAACAUAUGCAAGUCGAACGAUGAACCCGGAGCUUGCUCCGGCGGAUUAGUGGCGAACGGGUGAGUAACACGUGAGUAACCUGCCCUUGACUCUGGGAUAACUGCUAGAAAUGGUAGCUAAUACCGGAUCCGACCCUCGGUGGCAUCACCAGGGGGUGGAAAGAAUUUCGGUCAAGGAUGGACUCGCGGCCGAUCAGCUAGUUGGUGAGGUAACGGCUCACCAAGGCAACGACGGGUAGCCGGCCUGAGAGGGUGACCGGCCACACUGGGACUGAGACACGGCCCAGACUCCUACGGGAGGCAGCAGUGGGGAAUAUUGCACAAUGGGCGCAAGCCUGAUGCAGCAACGCCGCGUGAGGGAUGACGGCCUUCGGGUUGUAAACCUCUUUUAGUAGGGAAGAAGCGAAAGUGACGGUACCUGCAGAAAAAGCACCGGUUAACUACGUGCCAGCAGCCGCCGUAA
rnacentral:rRNA from 1 species